CUUAAAUAGAGCGACAGAUUAUGCGAUCAUCAAAUGCAAAUCAAAGGCCAUGUGAAGAAAAUAACAAAUAAGUUCGCUGAAAGUCGUAUCUUCAUUAACCAUGUUGAAAAUUGUUACAAAUUGCAGACACUUGUAAACAAUUUACACGAGGUCAUGAACUUCGACUAGCCGAUAAAUUAUUAAUGAAUUCUCAGUUGUGGUUACAUCAGCUGUUAUGGAUCUUACUGGAUUAUUAGCUAGAACGAUUCAAGCGUUUGAUUAAAAAUAGGCGGAGUUAUUCCCUUACUGUUUUAUAUUUAUGACACCUUUAUACUAUGCUAAAGCAGCAGGUUGCAAGAAUUUUCACUUAUUGUUUCAUUUUAUUGUAGAAUAUUAAAAUAAUACUUUAAGCAAAUGUCAGUGUACAGGGAAAGUAUAAAGGAUCUUUGAUGUGAAGAAACUGAUGUAAUAGAAAAAUACAACAAGAUAUCACACCAUACCUAGAUUUCACCAAGUGCUGCUUCUCUAUUUUAGUUGUUUUAUUUUUCAGCAAUUAACAAACAUAUCUUGGACAAUGAAUUACACAUGUAUCGUACUAAAAAUAAAAUAAUAAAUAAGUGACGACGAAA